GCAAGUCGAACGAACCUUCGGGUUAGUGGCGGACGGGUGAGUAACGCGUGAGAAUCUGCCCUCAGGAGGGGGAUAACGGUUGGAAACGACCGCUAAUACCCCAUAUGCCGCGAGGUGAAAUGAAUUUCGCCUGAGGAUGAGCUCGCGUCUGAUUAGUUAGUUGGUGAGGUAAUGGCCUACCAAGACGAUGAUGCAUAGCCGACCUGAGAGGGUGAUC
rnacentral:rRNA from 1 species